rnacentral:lncRNA from 1 species
GCACUUAUUGUCCCAAAACAAAAAUUAAAUAUUCUCAUUGCAGACCAUUCUUGUAUUUGCUAUUAAUACUGGGCCAAAUGAGUGAUUUAGUAACCCACUCACAUAGAUGAAUUAGGCCUAUCAGAUAAUAUACAAGAGCCUAAAGAUACGGGCCAGGAUCAGGAACAUACGUUCAUUCAUGACAUAGGUUAAUGUGUAUUGGGCUAUGGCAUUGAAAAAUAAUCACUGACUUUUGAGAGCAUCUGCAGCAGAUGUCACUGCUGACGAAAAAAUGAAUAAGAAAUUUAAAAAGUUAGUAACUAUGCAAAAUAUAUACAUCCUGCGUGAAGGUUACAUCACAUUAUUGGUACUUGUUGAUGUUGUCAUCGUCCUAUUAGUUGUGUUUCAAAUUUUUGUGAUCAAUAAAAUUUGCAACGAUAAGUAUCUAUUUGUGUCUUCAUUAAAUUAUCAUUGUCUCCACACUGACCACAUAAGUUGUUUUCAAGUUGAAAAUUUAACACUAUCAGUUAAAUGAAAUUGUUUCAUACCGAUUUUUUUAUAAAAUAAUUAAGACACAUAACAACGUCAUUUUAAUCAAUGAAUUAACUAAAACAAAAAAUACAAAUGAGGAAGUAAAAUAAUGACCAGGAGAAAAUAAGGAAAAAAAUAUAAUUGUCCAAAUAAUUUGUAUGGUAGUUUUAGGAGAAAAUAAUUAAUUAACAAAAUAAAGAAAGUAACAUACAAUAAGGAAAUAAGGAAAAGAAAGAGGUUAAAAUUUAGGAGUGAACAAGAUGAGGAGAUAAGAAGAAGACAUAAACGAUUGAUUUUUUUUUUAAAUCAGUUCGUUUCACUAAUUGUGUUACAAAUGUCAUGUAUGGUCAAGUGUGCAUAAAUAACGUGCCACAUCAAUCAUUCUCUUAUCAUUCUCACACCCAUAUGAAGAGAUCAACGUGACUAGCAAUACUAAAAAAAGUUGAGGACCGAAAUUAUAAUUUAAAUUUAUUAAAGAAGAUCUAGAAAAUAUGAAUCACUAAAAUGGGUGUUCAUGCAUGAUAUGGGACAAAUUUGGUCAUUAAUAUGGAAGAACUUACAAAUUGAGCAGUACUGAUAAAGACAAAUUAGAUUAGAUUGGCAUUGGCCCAACUUAGACACAGUCGUUUUGCUUGGCUUCACGAAUCAAUACAAAGUUGGACCCACUUCUCUUAUCCCAUUUCUUCCUUUAACACAGUUCAAUCAUUUCAUUCACAGCUCACACACACACAAAAUCAUUCAGAUUAACGCAAUAACAAUGAAAAUUUCAAUCUACUUUGUAAUAGUAUUAGUCUUACCUUUAUGUUAUGCAAUCGACGAAGAUGGAGAAACCAUAAUCUUCAAAACACUUGGCAGAGACAACUACGCCUUCGACAUUUACACUCUU